GACUUGCUCCCGGCGCCGAAGCCAGUCGCAGAUACCAGCUGGCUGCAACUGUUUAAUAAAAACACAGCACUGUGCAAACACGAAAGUGGACGUAUACGGUGUGACGCCUGCCCGGUGCUGGAAGGUUAAUUGAUGGGGUCAGCCGCAAGGCGAAGCUCUUGAUCGAAGCCCCAGUAAACGGCGGCCGUAACUAUAACGGUCCUAAGGUAGCGAAAUUCCUUGUCGGGUAAGUUCCGACCUGCACGAAUGGCGUAAUGAUGGCCAGGCUGUCUCCACCCGAGACUCAGUGAAAUUGAACUCGCUGUGAAGAUGCAGUGUACCCGCGGCAAGACGGAAAGACCCCGUGAACCUUUACUAUAGCUUGACACUGAACAUUGAGCCUUGAUGUGUAGGAUAGGUGGGAGGCAUAGAAGUGUGGACGCCAGUCUGCAUGGAGCCAACCUUGAAAUACCACCCUUUAAUGUUUGAUGUUCUAACUCGGCCCCGUAAUCCGGGGUGAGGACAGUGUCUGGUGGGUAGUUUGACUGGGGCGGUCUCCUCCCAAAGAGUAACGGAGGAGCACGAAGGUUAGCUAAUCACGGUCGGACAUCGUGAGGUUAGUGCAAAGGCAUAAGCUAGCUUGACUGCGAGAGUGACGGCUCGAGCAGGUACGAAAGUAGGUCUUAGUGAUCCGGUGGUUCUGAAUGGAAGGGCCAUCGCUCAACGGAUAAAAGGUACUCCGGGGAUAACAGGCUGAUACCGCCCAAGAGUUCAUAUCGACGGCGGUGUUUGGCACCUCGAUGUCGGCUCAUCACAUCCUGGGGCUGAAGUAGGUCCCAAGGGUAUGGCUGUUCGCCAUUUAAAGUGGUACGCGAGCUGGGUUUAGAACGUCGUGAGACAGUUCGGUCCCUAUCUGCCGUGGGCGUUGGAAGAUUGAGAGGGGCUGCUCCUAGUACGAGAGGACCGGAGUGGACGAAUCACUGGUGUUCGGGUUGUCAUGCCAAUGGCAUUGCCCGGUAGCUAAAUUCGGAAGAGAUAACCGCUGAAAGCAUCUAAGCGGGAAACUUGCCUCGAGAUGAGUCUUCCCUGGGGCUUUAAGCCCCCUGAAGGAACGUUAAAGACGAUGACGUUGAUAGGCUGGGUGUGUAAGUGCAGCGAUGCAUUGAGCUAACCAGUACUAAUGAACCGUGAGGCUUAACCUU
rnacentral:rRNA from 1 species